CUUCUUAUGGAACUUUUUUUAAAAAAGGGAGAUAAUAUCAUAGACAUAUAUAUUAACUCUAAUAAUUAUCUAUAUGAUUAGAUAGAAGUGAAUGAAAAUAGAUCAAUUUUCAUAAUAACUUUUAAAAAAACUUUUCAAAAGUUUUAUAGAUAUAGCUUUGAUUUUAAAUGUAUUAACAUAUUAAAAACUUAGUCAAUAAAUUAGGCAUGUGUCAUACAUAUUAAUAGAUUAUGGAA
rnacentral:lncRNA from 1 species